GAUUACCCAGGGACCAUCGCUCACCACAGCUGUGGUUCCUGAAGGAAAGCCUUGGUGAUGUGUCAUCAUCAUCAUCAUCAUCAUCAUCAUCAUCAUCAUCAUCAUCAUCAUCCUCAUCCUCAUCCUCA
rnacentral:miRNA from 10 species